rnacentral:rRNA from 1 species
CUCCUACGGGAGGCAGCAGUGGGGAAUCUUGCACAAUGGGCGAAAGCCUGAUGCAGCGACGCCGCGUGGGGGAUGAAGCUUCUCGGAGUGUAAACCCCUUUCGACUGGGACGAAUGCCCGCAAGGGAGUGACGGUACCAGUAGAAGAAGCCCCGGCUAACUACGUGCCAGCAGCCGCGGUAAGACGUAGGGGGCCAGCGUUGUUCGGAAUUACUGGGUGUAAAGGGUUCGUAGGCGGUGCGGCAAGUUGGGAGUGAAAUCUCUGGGCUCAACCCAGAGGCUGCUUCCAAAACUGCUGUGCUUGAGUGUGAGAGAGGCUCGUGGAAUUGCAGGUGUAGCGGUGAAAUGCGUAGAUAUCUGCAGGAACACCCGUGGCGAAAGCGGCGAGCUGGAUCACUACUGACGCUGAGGAACGAAAGCUAGGGGAGCAAACAGGAUUAGAUACCCUGGUAGUCCUAGCCCUAAACGAUCAGGACUUGGGGUGCCGCCCGUUCGGGCGUCGUCCCGGAGCUAACGCGUUAA